rnacentral:lncRNA from 1 species
UUAACACAUUUGUUUCAUAACUUUAGUAUUUGAAAACAAAUUUUCCAGUAGUCUUUUUCUUGUUACAUUGAAGGAAUCAAAUUCCGAAUAGCCUAAUCGCAAGCUAAUUCUCCGCUGGGAUUUUCCUUUGAUUUCUUAGAUAACCCACUUCACAAAUUCAAGAACCAGACUUGGUUCACAAAACUUCUCAUGGGUCUUCAAUUCUUCUCCAUAUUCCAGUGGGCCCUGAGCAUAAUUCAAGCCUCUCAUGGCGGCUGUAUCUACCACCACAACAACCAUCUGGUCCCUCUCUCUUGUCAUAUAAAACUGAGUGACCUCCCAUAGCCUUUCCUGGAGAUUUCUUAGAACAAUCAUUCCUUCUUUGCAUCCAAACCCAAAAAUCCAAGGCCUCUGAUCUCCCUCAAAUCCUUGGGAACAAGCAAUCACAAGCACUUGCUCAGCUUUACAAGUCCAAGUUGAAGAAAGGUGCGGGCAUCGACACGAGCCAAUUCAAGGCAAUUCUUCGCGACAAUGGAGCCAAAAUUCAUCCUCGGGAGGGGUUGAAGGAGAAGGACAGGAUUGAUAGCUUGCCUGGACAACCCCAUGUGAAUUUCUCUCAGUAUGGUGGGUAUGUUACAGUGGAUAAAGAAGCAGGUCGUGCACUCUUUUACUAUUUUGUUGAGGCGGAGAAGGCUAAGGAUUCCUCACGUCUUCUUCUAUGGCUCAAUGGAGUUGUGGCAAGACUCCAUCAGCUUGGAGUGGUGUAUAUUCAAUCGCAAGCAGAGCAGGGUUCUUGCAAUUGUUACAACUUCUGCAACAGUAUCAGACCCAAACAACUUCGUUGCUUGCUUGACUUGGAAGUGUGAACAAGUUGUAAAGUUGCAAGUUUUAAGCAAUUUACGUCAAAAGUAACUCUCAUGUCUCAAAAAGGAGAGGAACCAAACAAAAUUGUUUUGGAUAACAAAUGGAUAUCAUAAAAAAAUUUCUAAGUCUUUGGACCCUUUCCUACCACAAAAAAAAAAAAAAAAAAAAGGAUUGCCAGGCUUUACUGAUUGACAGCCACCCACUUGGUCUCUUAGUUUUGGAAUCUUAACGUGCACUUCGGUCGGG